CGCAGCAGCAAGAGUACUUUGCUAAAUACACCGCAGAUCAGCAAGCUUGGAUUGCUUCGGUGUUGCAGCAGCAGCAUGGCCAUGGAAAUACCUUGCCACCGUGGUAGCCGCCGCCACCACUGCCACCUCCACCGCUGCCACCACCAAUGUUGCCUGAGUUCUUUCCUCCGAGACCUGCAGCCGAGGGAUCAGGAGUAAAUGUGAGAGACAUCUACCAAACCCCUCCAGCACAGCUAGCAAGUACACCUAGAGAUGAGGAUGAACGGACUACCGACUUUGGAAGCAACCUAUUCGUUUCCGGAGGUAGCGGGCACAACUCCAACAACCCUCAUAUGCCGUGAGACAUGCCUUCUUUGCUGGACAUCCUAUUGCCGUGACAUAUGUAGCUUGUGUUAUGAUUUGGAGAGCUGCUAUGGAGUUUGUAGUUAAAUUAUGUGAAAUUAUGUGAAUGAUGUGUGAUAAACUUUCUCCUGUUGUCUUGUACUGUUUCUAGACUGUUAUCUGUUGCUGUUACUGCUUAUCUGUUGUUUAUAUGUUGAUGA